rnacentral:lncRNA from 1 species
UUUCACGUAAAUUAUUUUAAUGCAUUAAUUUAUUUUUCACACAUUUUCGCGGCUAAUUUUUUUAUUUUAAUAUCUUUUAUUUUUGUUUUUAAUCAAAAUAUAAAAAAAUAAAGAUAAAUAAAUGAUUAUUUGAUUUUUAUUCAUCAUGAAUGUGGAACAGGAGGACGUUUCGAUCGGGUUUGUAAUUGAAUUUCAUGUAAUUUUUAUUAGAAC